UACGUAGGGUGCGAGCGUUAAUCGGAAUUACUGGGCGUAAAGUGUGCGCAGGCGGCCGCGCAAGUCGAGUGUGAAAGCCCCGAGCCUAACUUGGGAAUUGCGCUCGAAACUACGUGGCUGGAGUGUGGCAGAGGAAGGUGGAAUUCCACGUGUAGCGGUGAAAUGCGUAGAGAUGUGGAGGAACACCAAUGGCGAAGGCAGCCUUCUGGGCCAACACUGACGCUCAUGCACGAAAGCGUGGGGAGCAAACAGG
rnacentral:rRNA from 1 species